rnacentral:rRNA from 1 species
CCUACGGGAGGCAGCAGUGGGGAAUAUUGGACAAUGGGGGGAACCCUGAUCCAGCCAUGCCGCGUGUGUGAAGAAGGCCCUCGGGUUGUAAAGCACUUUCAGUGAGGAAGAACGCCUGGUGGUUAAUACCCAUCAGGAAAGACAUCACUCACAGAAGAAGCACCGGCUAACUCCGUGCCAGCAGCCGCGGUAAUACGGAGGGUGCGAGCGUUAAUCGGAAUUACUGGGCGUAAAGCGCGCGUAGGUGGCUUGAUAAGCCGGUUGUGAAAGCCCCGGGCUCAACCUGGGAACGGCAUCCGGAACUGUCAAGCUAGAGUGCAGGAGAGGAAGGUAGAAUUCCCGGUGUAGCGGUGAAAUGCGUAGGGAUCGGGAGGAAUACCAGUGGCGAAGGCGGCCUUCUGGACUGACACUGACACUGAGGUGCGAAAGCGUGGGUAGCAAACAGGAUUAGAUACCCCUGUAGUC